CAGGAUACUUUAGCUUUUACCUGAUAUAUUAUGCCUCUGUCUACCAAAGUCAGGAGAGUUGAAUGAAGUAUUUCACGGUGCAUGUAUUAGCGUGUUUACACGAGGAGUUGAGAGAGUCCUGCUCAUCUUGCUUGAUAAACACUUAGGAUUACAAGAUCUAAGCUCUCCUUAGAGUUCCAGUUAUAAGGACCUGCACAAAAUAAACUUAGGUUAAGUUAGGUUAGGACUCAAGCGUGAAAUAAACGCAUAGUCAGUGCCCACCCUUUUCCGCAAUAGGACUUUUUAUUUUUGUCAACGCUGGAUGUGUUCUUGGAUUUGUCACCUUGGAUCAUUACAUUGUGGAUUAUAUUAUAUCAUUGUGGAUAAUUAUGUACAUCAUUGUGGAUUAUUAUACCUCAUUAUUGUGGAUUAUGGAUUAUUAUUACAGUCUCUGCAAUGGAAGGAUGAGUAUCGGUGUCUCAUCCAGAAGAAUGAAGACGUCGUAAGG